rnacentral:miRNA from 1 species
UGGUCACCUGACUUGCAGUGU